UAGUACGAGAGGACCGGGGUGAACGAUCCACUGGUGGACCUGUUGUGGCGCCAGCCGCAGUGCAGGGUAGCUAUGAUCGGACAGGAUAACCGCUGAAGGCAUCUAAGCGGGAAGCCCCCCCUCGAAACAAGGUAUCCCUUGAGGGCCGUGCGAGACCAGCACGUCGAUAGGCCGGAGAUGUAAGCGCGGCAACGCGUUCAGUUGA
rnacentral:rRNA from 16 species